GGUGAACGCUGGCGGUAGGCCUAACACAUGCAAGUCGAACGGCAGCACAGAGGAGCUUGCUCCUUGGGUGGCGAGUGGCGGACGGGUGAGGAAUACAUCGGAAUCUACUCUGUCGUGGGGGAUAACGUAGGGAAACUUACGCUAAUACCGCAUACGACCUACGGGUGAAUGCAGGGGAUCUUCGGACCUUGCGCGAUUGAAUGAGCCGAUGUGGGAUUAGCUAGUUGGCGGGGUAAAGGCCCACCAAGGCGACGAUCCGUAGCUGGUCUGAGAGGAUGAUCAGCCACACUGGAAAUGAGACACGGUCCAGACUCCUACGGGAGGAAGCAGUGGGGAAUAUUGGACAAUGGGCGCAAGCCUGAUCCAGCCAUACCGCGUGGGUGAAGAAGGCCUUCGGGUUGUAAAGCCCUUUUGUUGGGAAAGAAAUCCAGCUGGCUAAUACCCGGUUGGGAUGACGGUACCCAAAGAAUAUGCACCGGCUAACUUCGUGCCAGCCGCCGCCGUAA
rnacentral:rRNA from 1 species